rnacentral:rRNA from 1 species
AGUGAACGCUGGCGGUAGGCCUAACACAUGCAAGUCGAACGGAAGCACAGUAAGAGCUUGCUCUUACGGGUGGCGAGUGGCGGACGGGUGAGGAAUACAUCGGAAUCUACUUUUUCGUGGGGGAUAACGUAGGGAAACUUACGCUAAUACCGCAUACGACCUACGGGUGAAAGCAGGAGAUCUUCGGACCUUGCGCGUUUGAAUGAGCCGAUGUCGGAUUAGCUAGUUGGCGGGGUAAAGGCCCACCAAGGCGACGAUCCGUAGCUGGUCUGAGAGGAUGAUCAGCCACACUGGAACUGAGACACGGUCCAGACUCCUACGGGAGGCAGCAGUGGGGAAUAUUGGACAAUGGGCGCAAGCCUGAUCCAGCCAUACCGCGUGGGUGAAGAAGGCCUUCGGGUUGUAAAGCCCUUUUGUUGGGAAAGAAAGGCAGCAGGUGAAUACCCCGCUGUUCUGACGGUACCCAAAGAAUAAGCACCGGCUAACUUCGUG